AUAUGAAAGAAGGCUAACUCUCU
rnacentral:siRNA from 1 species